AGUGAACGCUGGCGGUAGGCCUAACACAUGCAAGUCGAACGGCAGCACAGUAAGAGCUUGCUCUUACGGGUGGCGAGUGGCGGACGGGUGAGGAAUACAUCGGAAUCUACUUUUUCGUGGGGGAUAACGUAGGGAAACUUACGCUAAUACCGCAUACGACCUACGGGUGAAAGCAGGGGAUCUUCGCACCUUGCGCGAUUGAAUGAGCCGAUGUCGGAUUAGCUAGUUGGCGGGGUAAAGGCCCACCAAGGCGACGAUCCGUAGCUGGUCUGAGAGAAUGAUCAGCCACACUGGAACUGAGACACGGUCCAGACUCCUACGGGAGGCAGCAGUGGGGAAUAUUGGACAAUGGGCGCAAGCCUGAUCCAGCCAUACCGCGUGGGUGAAGAAGGCCUUCGGGUUGUAAAGCCCUUUUGUUGGGAAAGAAAAGCAGCAGGUUAAUACCCCGCUGUUCUGACGGUACCCAAAGAAUAAGCACCGGCUAACUUCGUG
rnacentral:rRNA from 1 species